UACAGAGGUCCCAAGCGUUGUUCGGAUUCACUGGGCGUAAAGGGUGCGUAGGCGGUCGGGUAAGUCUGGCGUGAAAUCUCCAAGCCUAACUUGGAAACUGCGUUGGAUACUAUCCGGCUCGAGGAAUGGAGGGGAGACUGGAAUACUUGGUGUAGCAGUGAAAUGCGUAGAUAUCGGGAGGAACACCAGUGGCGAAGGCAGCUUGCUGGGCCACUCCUGACACUAAGUCACGAAAGCGUGGGGAGCGAACAGG
rnacentral:rRNA from 1 species